AUGACGUGUGGCUGUCGUAAAAACCCUAUUUGUAAACAACCAGUCCUUUUAACUCGGGGCUGCGUCAUAAACACGGCGCGCUUGGAAGACCACGAUGUCAUCUUCCUUCUGUCAGGAGGAUCCCAGUGAAGCUACAGGAGUUUCAUUAACGUCAACAACUUGGACCGAACGGUUUGUUUUGCUUGAUGAAGAGCAGGAAGGGCAGCCUGGAGAGAAAGAGAAGCCGGGUUGAGCCCACUACCAUCAUCCACGUACCACGAGGAAGAUGAGGGAGAGAAAUGAUCCUACCAUUAAAGAGACUGUGAAAAGAACGUUGAGAACAUCACCACUCUACAGGAAGACACAGUCCAGUAAUGGGUGUCAGUUUUUCAGUAGUGAACGACAGGAAGGACUGAUGCAUUUACUGAGACGGGACGUGAGGGCCUACUCUGCGUGCUCAGAGUUCAAGCCCAGCAGGCUGCAGCGGUCCUGACAUAUUCCGGAACAGCAGCACAGUCUUUGGAUGACUCCUCUGAAGAUGAAAACAUGGCGAGUUCUUCUCAAGAGAAGCAGUACAGGUGUGCCUCAGCUCCACGGUCCCUCCUGCAACCUCCGCUCCUGAUGCUAACCUCAUGUCUCCAUCACACCAAGCAGCAGACCUGGAUUGACAGACCUUUCUCCAGAGCUGCCCCCUCCCUCUGAAACCCCCCUCUCCAAAACACUAUUUGUGUAGUUUUUAAAGUAUUUUUUGCAUGAGAAUUGUUGAUCAUAACAUUUCCAGCAGAUGCCUUAAUGUAAUGUUUGUGCACAAUAAAUUACA